UCAGGGUUGGAGCUAAACACUGCAGUGCAUUGGCCCCCCAGGGUAAGAUUUGAGGGACCCUGAUGUACAAGCUGUCAAAAUCAUUUCUACAGUGUAUGAUUGUAUGAUUGUUCUCACUGGGAUCGCCUCAAAUCAAAGCAGCCUAUUUGAAAACUCAAGAGGGCGACAAACACCUUCACAUGCAUCCACAGUGUCUCACGGGAGCGCUGUUGGUUUGUCCUCCUCCAGCUCGGAUGUGCUAACUGGGGCAAGCAGACGUUCUUACCUUAGAUGGGGCUGUGCACAGGUCAAGCCAAGUCAGAUCUGCCUCCUCAUUCAUUUGAGCUCUGGACUGAGUCAGACUUGACCGAUACCCCAGGGAAGGACAAUGUGCUCCGAACACCACAUCUGCUCCCUUCCCAGAGUCACCAUCAGGCAGUAGUUAUGCAGAGAGUUACAGAUUUGAGGAGGUGUGGUGCAAUGAGACGGACAAGAUGGGUGUGGCAUCAGUGAUUAAGCAGGAAGUUUUAUUUACUGGAUCAGUUGUAUCACAGUGCUCACUGGUCACAUUUCUUUGCAGCGGAUGGUGAAGAUCAAAGAUAUCAACACUGAUAAAUAUAGUUUUUCCUUGGCCAUGCACUGUAAUGUUCUGGCAUGUCUCUCUCUCUGUGUGUGUGUGUGUGUGUGUGUGUUUGUGUGUGUGUGUGUGUGUGUGUGUGUGUACUUGAACCGCCUGUGAGAUCAGAGUGAUCAACCAGAUUGGUUGUGAGUCAACCAGAAGGCCGUUCUGUUUUCUGUGAUGUGCAGUGAAGAAUAAAGCCACAGUAUAAAGCAUUGGAGCUGAUGACACCUAUUACACACUUCUAGAGCUUUUGACUCUGACUCACUUUGCUGUAAUAUCCUCUCAAACAGUAGCAGAUGGUACAGACCCUUUCACUGCCUUCAGACAUGUUUGUAGGUGAGUGCUGGUGUCUAUAGUGUGUGUCUUUAAACACAUAAGUGUAGUGUUGUACAUAAGAGGACUUUCCCCAUGCUAAUUAACCCCAGCUUGAUGCAGAUGUGUUUUUCUCUUGACUUUAGCACUAAAAAUGCUGAAAACCUUGAGAUGGAGACAUCCUCUUAUCUUUAACUUGUGAAGACAACACAACAUAAGAUUAAACGGUGCGAAAAAGUCCAAAUUAAAUGAAAUGUAAUUAUAUAUAAGAGGUGAAGUGAACAUUGAUUAUAUCGUUACAAUGGAACAUGUAAAUGUGUGGAAUAUAUUAGGCAGAAAGUGAACAGUCAGCUCUUGAAUUUCAUGUGUUGGAAGCAGGAAAAAUAGGCAAGUAAAAAGAUCUGAGUGACUUUGACAAAGGCCAAAUAAAAUAGGGAAAAUGAAAAGGACUGAGAUAAAUGCUGAGGUUUGGCAUACCUAUAAACUAAAUGCAAAGCUGAACUGAUGUCAAAGUGAGCUUCUGUCUCUAAAAAGUAUUAAAUGGCCAUAAAACCUUCUAAUACAGUUUUGUUUUGUGACAACAACUUAUUAAAGUGUUUAAAGUUAGGUUCAGGCUGCAGGAAAAUGUGGGCCAAAUCCAAUUUUUUUGGAUGAUAUGUGACUCAGAUCAUUUUAUUUUUCAUGCAGUGUGAAGAGCACAAACCACAUGGAAUCUGAUCUUUUUGAUUCUGAUUUGGGCUACUUCCAUAUGUGGUCCUAAAUCUAAAACAGGUCAGUUGUUUUGCAAUACGGCAUCAGUUUGAAUUUACGUCAUUCUAGAUCAACGUUCGUCAUGAUUUGGCACUGACGGGAGUCACUCCAAAGAUUUUACAUACCGGAAUCUUUGAUCAUGCUGUGAAUAUGAUAUACAGUUGCAGACGUAGUCAGUGGAGAAGAAGUGAGGUGUUAAACUCAUAAGUAUUACAGUUACAGCUCUAUACGAGCUAAACAUUCAAAAACUUUGCUCUCUCUUCAUCUUUGUUCACUUUAUCACCUGCUCACAAAUCUGCUGGCCUCCAUGCCACAACACCUUAAAAAAUUAACAUGUAAACGCUUACAUCAGUGGCCCCCAUACUUACUUCCGUAUGACAGUCAUGGUGUCUCAUUAUCGUUCUUUUGCACAUGCAAGAGAGUUCAGGACCAUGAUCGGUUCACACAGCAAUCUAAUAUUUGCCACAUUUAAAAAAAGAUGACGCGAAAAACUGAGCACUAAUGCUUGCUGGUUUAAUGUAGCCUAAAUUUGACCUCUGUAGAUCAGAAUGUCUCUGUUUGUGAAAUGCAAUCUUGAUAGUCUGUUAAAAGAAUCAUCUCAUUAUUCUGUCUGUCGAUGGUUGUCGAUACAGUGUCCCCGUAUGGUACAGCUUGAACCUCUCAGCACAGUCCUUGAAGGCCGUGAACAUCAACCUAUGAAAACACAAAGAUGAAGAACAGGAAAACAAGAGAGUCUGCUCUUUUUGAAAAACACAUUUGUUUUUAAUGGAUGUCUUAUGCAGUUCAUGUACUGGUUCAGAUGGAUGGGAUCUCUGUAGUUUUUUACUAGGUGUGGGUGCAUGAGCUUGAUGCAUGUGAUGUAAUUCUAACUUUAUGAAAAAAUGUUUCAAUUCAGGAUUAUGAUCACAAAGUAAGCCUGUGAACAUAAGUCUGUGCACAAAUUUACCUGACAUUUUCAGGGAAAAGUAAAUGUUAUUGGUUUGUUUUCUGCCUUCAUUUUGCUUCUGCCUGUGUCAGAAUGGUGGUGAAUCAGAGCUCAGCUAUCAUCCUUGUUUUUCAGCUAAUACAGUUAACAACAGGACUCAUAUCCAUCCUUCCACAGAGCCACACGUUCCUGUGGAAAACAUGGCAUAUCUGUCACUACAGCUUCCUGUGUUAAAGAAUUACACCCAGAAACGGAUGGGUCACAACAGGCCCUUCUCUCUCAAUCUUUCUGUUCUUUCUUUUUCUAUUGAUCAGAGAACACAUACUUGCUUUUUAACUUGGCCAGUUCUUGAUAAACAUUAUUGCCUUGUUAAACUUGCUGCUGUUUUGUUGCCAUACUUCAUAAAACACAAUUAGGCGGAUGUUCAGUUAAA